ensembl:miRNA MIR33A microRNA 33a
CUGUGGUGCAUUGUAGUUGCAUUGCAUGUUCUGGCGGUACCCAUGCAAUGUUUCCACAGUGCAUCACAG